rnacentral:tRNA from 1 species
AGCAGUGUGGCUUAGUGGAAAGAGCAUUGGUUUGGGAUUCGGAGGAGGUGGGUUCUAAUCCCACUUCUGCCA